UUCUUUAAUUCAAAGAGAAGACAUGUGAGACUGAGACAUGCGUUGUUGAAUUAUCUGAGAGAACAAGGAGUUAUCACCUUGAUCGAUGUGAGAUCGAAGGAUAACAUGGCCGAUACUCUCACAAAAGGUAUGCCUAAAGAUCGAUUAUUCAAAACAGUAGGGGAAAUGGGGUUAAAGACUAUGUAGACUAGUCUUAAUUACCAUUUACUUACCUUCUAAUUGUAUGUUUUGAAUUAUCGAAUCUUCCUUUGGUGGUCAAGCACAAUUUAUAUGUUUCAUCGAUGUUCAUGGUUGCAGACUAAUUUGAAAAGGGUGAGUUGUCUCAUUCCAAACUUGAUGAAGAUGAC
rnacentral:lncRNA from 1 species